GACGAACGCUGGCGGCGGGCUUAACACAUGCAAGUCGAACGGAAAGGCCCUGCUUCUGUGGGCUUCUCGAGUGGCGAACGGGUGAGUAACACGUGAGUGACCUACCCUUUGCUGUGGGAUAACAUCAGGAGACAGCGGCAACUACCGGAGAGUAGCGCCGGCUGCACGGAGGGGGUGGGAAAGGUUCGGCGGGUGGGGAUGGGCUCGCGGCUUAUCAGCGUGUUGGGGGGGUAGUGGCGUACCAAGGCGUUGACGGGUAGCCGGCCUGAGAGGGGGGCCGGCGACCUUGCUCCUGCGAUACGGCCCAGACUCGUACGGGAGGCAGCGGUGGGGAGUAUUGUACAAUGGGCGGAAGCCUAUUGCAGCAACGCUGCGGGCGGGAUGACCGCCUUCGGGUUGUAAACCGCUUUCGCCUGUGACGAAGCGUGAGUGACGGUAAUGGGUAAAGAAGCACCGGCUAACUCCGUG
rnacentral:rRNA from 1 species